AACGCGAAGAACCUUACCUGGGUUUGACAUGGGCGGAAAUCCGGCAGAGAUGUCGGGUCCUUCGGGGCCGUCCACAGGUGGUGCAUGGCUGUCGUCAGCUCGUGUCGUGAGAUGUUGGGUUAAGUCCCGCAACGAGCGCAACCCUCGUCCGAUGUUGCCAGCGGGUUAUGCCGGGGACUCAUCGGAGACUGCCGGGGUCAACUCGGAGGAAGGUGGGGACGACGUCAAGUCGUCAUGCCCCUUAUGUCCAGGGCUUCACGCAUGCUACAAUGGCCGGUACAAAGGGCUGCGAAGCCGUGAGGUGGAGCGAAUCCCAAAAAGCCGGUCUCAGUUCGGAUCGGGGUCUGCAACUCGACCCCGUGAAGUCGGAGUCGCUAGUAAUCGCAGAUCAGCAACGCUGCGGUGAAUACGUUCCCGGGUCUUGUACACACCG
rnacentral:rRNA from 1 species